ensembl:lncRNA
UUCCACCUUGCUCCUCUGUGACUGAGGGUUUCCUGCUCUCUCCAGGCCUCUGUUUUCUCCUCUACAAAACGGAGGUGCUGCCCCUCCCUGUGCUUGGUCUCCUGAACCACGGAUGACCCGACUGGCCGAGGUGGAAGUGGAGGUGAGGAGGCUGAGUCCCCUGGGAGCCUGAGGCUUUGAUGGCCCUCCUUCACCCACAGGACCAGCAGACCCCAGAGGCUGGAUGGAGGCUGGAAACUUUCUGCCUGACCUGGGACGGCAGGGACCACUUGUCUCUGCUCACUCUGAGCCCUCCGAGGUGCCAGUGAGUGAAGAGAGCUCUGCGCGGCGGCGUCCUAGCUUAGAGGUCGGAACGUUUCCCAGACGGGGAAGAGGACGUCACAGGGAGAGCCGUGAUCUCAUCCGGCCGCCGCGUUCUGGAAGAGACGAGGGGACAGCGCACGCGAGCAGAGGAGGAGAGGCGGCGCGGGGAAGGGAGGCGGCGAGACGCGCAGCGCCCGCGCCCGGGAGACCCAGGAGGAGCCCGCAGGUAUUGUUGGCGGCGAAGCUUUGUAUCUUGGUGGGUGGGGGGACGAUCCGGGUGCGAGGGCUCCUGAGGCUGCCGGCCGGGGUCUCCGCCCGCCCCCGGCACCCCUCCUACCGCGCCGCAGUCUUGGCUGGAGUUGCAGACCUGCCUGUUUGGGGUUUUCCACACCCGUUGUGGGAAUCGGUCUCAGAAGGAAUUUCUUUCUUUUUUUUUUUUGGCCGCAGUUUGGUUGUACCGGGGAUUUCCCCCUCCCCUUCUCUCCACCACACACUGGUGAGAGGUCUUGGCGACCGUGGCACUGGCCGAAGGCUGAGGGCUGAGAUGGCGGGGCUGGUGGCCGCGGACCGGAGGGAGGGACGCGGGGAGGAAGGAGUUUUGCUCAAGUUCUCAGUGUGCGCCGCGGAGCUGGUCAGGCGGGGAGGGUCGGCUGCGCGCCCCGUCCUGCUCCGGGCCACCGGUGGGAAACUUCCCUAGAGCGCAGCCUCCCGGGGGACUCGGCGCCCCCGACGCCUCGGGCGCUCACUCCGGCCGCCUGGGCCCCGCCUCGCUGCUCGCGAGCACCGAGGUCGCGCUCUCCCCGCCCCCGCCUUCCUCCUCCCCCGGCGGCUUCCGGAUCUGGACUGGGCAGGAGAAGCGGCUCCGAACACUUCCCCCGGAGACCCCUCCCCACUGGCCGCUAUAGUCCCCUGCCCUGGCACCCCCGCCUCGCGCGCGCCCCAGUGGACAGGCUGACAAUGAAACCUCGCGCCUGUGCGGUUGUGGGGAGAGGUCGGAGCUUGGUCUCUCGGGGGGCUACUAACCCCAGGAAGCCGGAGGGGGGACUCUUUGGGGGUGGGGCUUGUUUAGGUUAGAGACGUUG